CCUCUUAUUUUGGUUAUUUGAUAAAUAGCUAAUAUGAUUUGCUUUUUCCAGUAUAAGAGGCCAAUCAUCUUCCCUGGCCAAAACGUCCCUAGGUCGGUGGGUGCUUCUACAGAGGGCUCCUCCACAUGAGUGCCGGGUUGGUUCACUACAUGGCCGAGCAAUCUUCCUCUAUCCCAGGUUUUCUCGGGUGGACGUACCAUAAUGUGUGGGAUCCUUCUAUCCAGGUUAUGUUGCCGAGGGUGCCAGUGGCUAGCAAGCAAUGGGCCUCCCAUCCCAUUUGACUGUGUCUCUCCUUCUGAGUAUGUUGAGUGCCGCUCAAUGAUCCAGAGCCUUCACCCUUGUCUGUAUCGCCAUACUGAGUAGAUCCGGGACCAGGCGUGGAAGCACCAUUUCGAUCAUAGAUUUGGUGGUAGAGGUCCCGAUGCCGGUUACGGAGGUGGGAUGCCUGAUCCUGAGUAUGAAGGUGUUUGCCCAAGUUAUAGAGGUGGAUGGUCUGGCCUCGUAUUUGGAGGUGGAGAGCCUGCCUUCGGAGCUAGUAGAUUUUACUUUGAGAGCAGGGAACUGACGAGGAUCCCUCCUUUUCUAAGGAGGAGCUUUAGCUUUACACGAAGGAGUAUGUAUAGGAUGCACAGGGUGGCUAGGAUGGACAUAAUGGGCAGCCAUUGGACCUACCCAUAAAUCUACAUACAGACUUAAAUUUCAUUUGAACUUUUCUUCUCUUUUUUGGUUUUUAUCUCUUUUUGUUGUUGAAACAUGCAAAAUGAUGUUAUUU